AAUUAUCUGUCGUUAAAGGCGUUAUAGGCGACAUAUCCGUCGCUAAUAGUGUUCUUGGGCAUUUUCUUCAUCAAACCCAGAUUUCUUGUCAGUCACUAAGGGGCUCGGUUUGACCAGCUUUUAGGCUAUGAUCCUAAUGUUUUCUAGGCAGUUAAUGAUAUCAAUCACGUAGUAUAAAUGUAAUACUACAAGAUAAUGAAACAUUCAUGGCCAUAACAUAUAAUCACAAAGAUAUCUAAGCCUCCCCAUUCUUGUCAGUGGCUGUUCUUCAUUUCUGGGUUUCCCAGAAAUGAAAAACAGCUCGACCUUGGUAGUUUAAAGCUUUAUAACUUGGCAUCUGGGUCUUGUUUGUGUAAUCUAGUAGUUUAUUCUUGUUGAACACAUGAUAGGGUAUAAUGACAUAACAUCAGAUCAUAAAAACACCAACACAUAUUUAAGAUCAAGGCUGGUCAAACUUUGACAGAAAACUCGGCUGAUGAAGAUCUGGGUUACCCAGAAUCUUCAUCCGGCGUGAUGGUCAACGCUAUUUUGACCAAGGAUUUCUAUGAUUCUGUUACUGAUUUUGGUGAUAUAAAGGCAUGAGUAUGAAGUCCUUAUACCUGUCUACAAUAUCUAACCAACAAAAUGGCCAAAACAACAAACACCAGCAAGAUCAGAGGCUUCAAAAUGGUUGUCAGACGAGAUCUGGGUUUUUGGGUUGCCCAGAAACUCAGUCUCCGUGAAGGUCAACACUGUUUGACCAACAAUAACUUAAGAUCUAAAAAUGCUAUUACCCUGUUACUAGUUUCAGAUCACAGUCCUCAUGUCAGGCUACAGAUUCAAAACAUAAAACACACCAAACAGUUAAUACAUAAAGAUCUAAGGCCUCACAUUUGACUGUCAUGCCGUUUUUUUCAUCAUUUCCAGAUUUGAUAAAUCUUAUAUUUCGAGCAUCUAGAUGUUAUGGAUCUGGGAUUUAACAACCCAGAUCACUAAAAGACACCUUAUUACACAUCUUUAACCAAUUAUAACUUUUAACAUCAAAUCAAAAGAUUUUAAAAAUUAGGGUUCUUAUACCUUUCUAAAGCUUGAUCUUGAUUCUGAUCUUUGUGAUCUGUUUAAGGAGAGCUAAUAAAUAAUAAUGGUUUUUUUCCCCACUCCCUCUCACUCUAGAUUUCGAAGUGGGAAGGGAGAGAAGGUCUUGGUUAUUUGGAAAAGUAAAGUGAGUUACUUUCUCUCACUUUAAUCUUAUAAAUUGAUACAAAUACAAUAAAUUAUGCUGAGCUAGUUGCUGGAUUGUUGUGAUAUAACCCACAUGGCUGGUCAAUAUUAGGUCACCCACUCCCAAUAUGGCAAGAUAUACAAGCAACCUAAUUAAUAAUACACUAAGGGCAAAAAUGUCAUUUGGACUUUUAUUUUAAUGGUAUAAUGGACAUUGUCCAAACCCUUAGGGUUUAGGGUUAGGGUUAGGGUUUAGGGUUUGAAAUAUUUUAGGGUUUAAGAUUUAACCCUUAACUUGCAAAUUUAAUUUCUGAGAUUUCCGAAUUUCGGUUUUCAAAAUAGAAAAUUAAUAUUUCUAAAUUAUAAUUAGAAUUUUCUAAUUAAUUAAAAUUUACUAAUCGUAACUUAAAUCUUACUAAUUAGGAUUAACAUUUCCUAAUUAAAAUCGCUAAUUUAGUAAUUAGGGUUGUAAUUGGUCAUUAGGGUUUAUAACCCACGAAUUAUGGUUUCUAAUAGAAAAAUAAUUUUCCUAAAUUAGAAAUUAGAUUUUGUAAUUAGAUUAGGGUUUCCUAAUUACUUAAUCUUGAGAAUUAGAAUUAGGGUUUCCUAAUUAACAUUAAAAAUAUUAAAUUAACAAUUAGGCUUUCCGUAAUUAUAAAUUAGGGUUUCUAAUCCAGAAAUUAGGGUUUGCUAAUUAAUUAAGCUUUACCCUAAUUAAUAUUAUAAUUAAUAGCACUUAAGCAAUAUAAUAAUCAUUUACGUUCCCAAAUUAUGGUUUUAAAUUCUGAAUUAGGGUUUCAAAUUCCCGGAACUGAAAUUAGGAUUUUUAGAACCGGUUUCUAGGGUUUCUUAUUAAUCGUUAUGGUUUUCUAACCGAACGUUGACGUUCUUAAUAUAUACUUAGGGUUUGUUACAGAUACCGUUUAUCUGGUCAACCCUUGACCCUUAACCACAUAUUGUACACAAAUACAACUAUACACACAGAACACAUUCACUUAUUCCUUAAUCCUGAAUAAUUCACUUAAAUCCUUCAAAGAAUUUUGAAAUCCUCAAAAUUCCUUCUUAAAAAUAUCAAACACAAACACUUAUUUUCUGUCUAGGUUCUAAUAUUGAACCUUAAAUCAAUUAAUUAGAAUUUAAAAAAUUUCCUAAAUUCUCGGGUUGUCACAUUCACCCAUUCUUUUAAAAAUUUCGUCCUCGAAAUUUACCUUACACCUUACACCUUACACCUUACAACAUACUGCUUACACCAUUCACACACAUCAUCACAUGCUACCCAAUACACCACUCACAAGAGUAAAAAUUUUCAAAUUUUGCUGAGGAGUCAUAUAGACUAUUUGUCUGUCAUUUUCGCAAAGGUUUUAUGAAAAUUCAUCCGCAAACCGUCAUAACUUACAGACACAAAGGGUGAUUAGCCUGAUAUGUCCUAUACUGGCCAAGUACUGAUUUUAUUUGUUUCUCUUCACUGCCAUAGGCACAAAAUUCUACCUCAGUCUUAUUGGAUUCUGUACCAAAAUAAUUUGGUUCGGGAAAUUUCUUUCAUUGAACACUUAGAGUUUUAUAAAUGUUUGUCUAGCUGAAUCAAAUAGCAUAGACUCAUAUCAAUAAUUCAAUUCAAUCGAAUUAUUUAAGUGUAGUCAAACCCCGUUGGCAAAUUAAAUUUUAUUAAAAAUAUUUUUGAGAAUGACGUCAUAAUGUCGUACUGUAUUAACAGUCCGUUUGAGGAUGUCGUCAUCGAGUGACUUUGUCAUAACACAUCAUACAAUAGUGGAACAAUAAUUUUCAGAUCGAAUUUGCACUAAGUAUUCCUGCAUUUAUAACUCUAUCAACUUUUAUCAUCUCUGCACCAAGUUACAUGGUACAUGAGUGAUAAAUAAAAUAUUUUUUGAUAUUUCAAAUCAUUUGCGUCUAACUGAAAUAAGUAGCAUAGACUAUACUUUAAACCGUUUUAAAAAUGAUUACGAGUCUACAUAUUUUUAUUUUUAUUUUUAAGGCACAUAGUGCGUAUUUAGCUUGAUGUCAAAAUUUCAAAGUCUAGCAUAGCUAGGAGUUUUGGAAAACUUAUGUCUUCACUAAUUAUCAUUUGCUUAACAAUCUAUCUGUUCCUAUAAUCUUUAAUACUCCAUUUACACACAACUAUACCCAAUUCGUAAAACCACACUUAUGAGUCGAUAAAUUGCCACAAUCAUAUGAGUUUAAGAACUUUCCUAGUCAGACCUUUGGCGUACAUUCGCUCAGGGGUUCAUAAACGUUUCAUAUAACUAUGAAUCAAGAAUGUCACAUAAGUAUGAGUUUUAAAAUCUCGUACUUAACCUUAUACUCUCUACCUAUGACCUAUCUAUCUGUUAUACACAUGAGAAAGGAAUCACCCUCUUAACAUGCAUAUAUCAAAUAGCGCGACAUAAACAUUUCAAUGAUUAUCAUUGCCAGAACUAAGUAGUUUUUACACCAAGUACAAUUCCCCGCCCACACAAGGAAUCAUACAACUCAGCUGCCGACAUGAAUCCUCACCUAAAACUAACUCCCUUCUCAAUACGAAUUUCAUUUAACUCGUAUUCAUAAUCCUUUCCUGAAUCUGUACCAAUUCAUAGUACAACUGACACCCAGCAAUUUUGCUGUUAACUUUGCAAUCAUUCGCUUGAUCCUUCUUCAUACUAUAACCUUAUCCGAUCAUGGAGUGAUCUCAUCGUAUAUAUUACGAUUCAUUUCUAUAUCUUGAUCAUUUUUGUUUUACGAUCUCCUAUCACUGUACUUUUAGUCUUUUAGUCUCUAUCUAUUCUUCACUACUGUUCACUUUAUUAUCAGAGUUAGGGAACUCUGUAUCUUUUAUAACCCGCCGAGAUUCGUCUUUGUAUCUUAUCGAUUAACUAACUCUAUGUGAGUUAUUACUUAUCCUAAUAACUGCGGUUAUUAGUCUAAGGUAUCACUACCCUAGGUUCAUAACCCACAGCUUUGAUACCAACUGUGGGGGGCCCGAAUUCGAGGUCCCGAAUCACCGCGAAUCCGGUUCGAUCAUUCUAUACAACUAUUACUAUUUGCGGAAGAUAUAAACAUAAAUUAUUUAUACAAUACAUUUACACACUAUUCCCCAAGGUCGAGUAACCUUAACUUAAUACACAUUUAUAACUUAUUUAACACAACUUUAUUAUCAAACUACAUUAUUACAAAACUAAUCGUACACAUUAACUAAAGCUGGAACUGUCUUUAACCUUUCCUUGUAUCCGACGCGUUCGUCUUAAUCUGCAAUGUUUAUCAUGAUAUAGCAAGGGUGAGCAUACGAUUGCCCAGCAAGUUUAAGUUCAAUAAUUAAUAUAACGAUAUAUCAUGAUUGAAAGAGUCUGAAUAAAAAGCUGGCUAUAAUUCAACAAUAUAAUUGUGAACUAGCAUGAACAAAAUUUAUGACUGAACAAGUAUUAUACAUGAACAAAUAUAUCUGAACCAACUAGUAAUGAAGGUGACCAACCUUUCAUACCUGACUUAUAUAUGCAAUAUGUACAGAGUACAAUUCAUGUCAACUAGCAAUGAUUAACCAUAAGCUUAUCCGAAUGAAACAACUCUUAGUAGAGUUAAGUAAAAACAAACUUGCAUGAACCGUUGAUUACUGCAAUGUAAUUUAUAAUGCUUUAUCCGAAGACCUAAUAUUAGUAAUAUAGAUCUCCAAUAUUAGAAUAAUAUCAUCACAAUAUAAUACUAUUAUAUAUAUAAUAGAUAUACAUAGAAUAACCUAAACACAUAACACAUAACCCUAUCAGUCUACAACACACAUAGGACUCGAUAUCAAGUCAAACUAUUACAGUUUGAGUUGACCCGACAAAAUUCAAACAUCCCGACGGUCUAGUCGGACAAUUCUUUGAGCUUAAGUUCAAUUAAACUCUGCCUAACACUUAAUAGGUAUCUCGGAUAAUUUCAAUAACAGUCGAAAUAUUUUUCCAAAUUUCAUAAUAAUUUUUAAAUAAUUAUUACCAUUUAUCUUGACUUUUCAAUCAUUAAAAACGUAUUUAAAUGAAUUAAAUACCACAUAAAUCUUUUAUCAUUAAUAUUUAUUUAUUAUCAAAUAUUAAUGAAAAUCAUUACAUAAUAUUAUAAUAUAUUUAUAAUAUAUCAAAGUAUUUUUAAUACCUAUGAUUUUUAAACAGUUAAAUUCAUUAUCCAAUAAUUGCUAUUAAUAUUAAAAUAUUAAUAUUUUCAUGACAAAGUAUCAAAAGUUAUAUCUUAUAACUUAAAAUAUUUUUAUAAUACUUAAAUCAUGUUUAUAUGAUUUAUAAAUCAUAAAUUCUUUUUUUCGUUAAUUUCUUUAAUAUAUUUAUUAAAUAAACUAAUUAUCAUUAAUAUUGAUUAAUUAAUUAAAUUCAUCCUAAAAUAUUAAAAGUCACUUAAAAAAACUUAAAAUAUUUUAUUAUAACAUAUUAUAAUUUUUCAUGUAUUUAAAUCAUUUUUAAAUAAUUUAUGUAUUAUUAUAAUUAAAUAAAUUAAAUACCAAUAAUAUUCCAAAAAAUAUUAAAUAUUUAUGAAAUAUUCUCUAAAUAAUUAAAAACUAUUUUUCAGAAUUUAAAAUAAUUUUUCAUAAUUUAUUUGGUAUCUUUAAUAAUUAAAAAACCAUUUAAUUUGAUGUAUUUAAUUAAAAUAUUAAUUUUAAAAAUUAUCUGUCGCUAAAGACGUUAUAGGCGACAUAUCCGUCGCUAAUAGUGUUCUUGGGCAUGUUCUUCAUAAAACCCAGAUUUCUUGUCAGUCACUAAGGGGCUCGGUUUGACCAGCUUUUAAGCUAUGAUCCUAAUGUUUUUUGGGCAGUUAAUGAUAUCAAUCACGUAGUAUAAAUGUAAUACUACAAGAUAAUGCAACUGUAACGCCCGAGAAUUUUGAAUUUUCAAUGAAUUAAAUUUUUAUUUGAUUAUGUGGAUUAAAUGAAUUUUAUUGAGUUAUUAUAUGAGUAAGAUGUUCAAAGGUCGUUGUAUGACCUAGAAUGUGUAGAUGUGGUUAGUAUUCCGGCUUUGUGCUAGAAUUAAUUGUUGUGAAUUUAUCAAGAUGAGAACGAAGGUUUUCUGAGAUUGUUUGCAAAAGAAAAAUACUAUUCAUCCGAUGACGUUUAGAGCUAGGGUUUGAGAUUCUGAGAAACGCGUAAUGUUAGAAUAUGACAAUAUUAUGGAAUAUCCAAUAAUAUUUCCGUUAUGGCAAACAAAGUUUUCACCUGCAGACUUAAAACCUAAGGGUUUGUGAAAGAGGUUUCCGAAAGGGAAAUGUAAUGCGUAUAGUCGUUUCGAUUAUUUUACGUAAGGAAUAUGAGUAUUAUACUAGUAUGUAUACGAGUAUGAUAUGAAGAAUAGUACGACGUAUAAUACGAGUAUUAUAUGAAUAUUAUACGAAGAGAAUACGUGAAUAAUACGCGU
rnacentral:lncRNA from 1 species